UAUGUCGCCAUGCAUCCUUUGAAGCAAAUCCUAUCAUCUGCUUAUUCCCUCUUUGUCCUACUAAGUUCCCUUCUUCAUCAAUGUAGUUGAUACAAUCACCAAACGUUUGGUUAUUCGGAUCGGUUUAAUCGGGUUUUCGGUUGAAAACUAUUCCAAAUUAACUGAUAUAGAUGUCGCGGUUCGGUU